CGUCCUCGGGGGGCGCGCGACAGUUGGCGUUCCGCAUCCGGAACAUGCGUCGCGCCGCGUGCCGAUCGCGCCGGGGACAUCUCGUUCGUGCAGUCAUCGUCGACUCCGUUGCUUCCGUUAGUGUGUCAACUCGCGUAAACAGCAUCACUCGUUGUCCGACUUCACUCGAGCUCGAAUCGAGGGCGCCGGAGUCACUCUCGAAGAUCGCCAAGGAGCGACGUGGAACUUGUCGAACUUGCUGGUCGAUCAUCGCUAGAUUGUCGCAGGACGUUCGUGGAAACGCGAAUCCUUUGUCCCCCGUCUGACAGGGAAGUGGCGGCGGUGGCGGCGACGACGAACGCAGCGUCGGACCGACGACGUCGUUUCGCGCAGCGAGGACUUUCUCUCUCUCUCUCUCUUCUCUCCUGAACGUCUUCCUUCCGACUCGCGAGUCUUCUCGAUGAACGCGGAUCGUGUCAAGUUCGGUGAAUGAUUGGAAGGAAUCUGGCGCGAGCGACGUUGCCGUCGACUGCUGUGACCAACGACUCCUCAACGAGGUUCGUCAUCGCGUGGACCAGUAACUCCGCAGAAGCCAAGAUCCUCGAGCUGCUUCCGCGGUCAGGCCGUGUGAUCUUCCUCUCGUCUCAGGGAUCAAGAGCAGUUUUUUUGACUUGGUGACUUCGUCCCCCCUGGAUUUGCGUGGGUUUUCGCGAACGACCGAUGUGAGGCCUCGCGAAGUGAGGCGGCGCGUUUCGCGGCGGUCGCGCCGGCAGAGAUCGGGGACCCGGGAGAGUCCGGCGCCGGGGGCCGCCGUCGCUUCGUUGCUGGAUCGUAUCUGGGAACGCGUCACCGACAUUCAUCCCGCGCGGGACCCGUCAUCAGGCGAGCAGGUGGCGGCGUCAGAUCGACGGUCGUUCGAUCGUCCGGCGGACGUCUCUGCCGCCGCGAGAAGAGCCGGCGGCGGCGUCAGGCGGAGGCGCAGGGACGGCGGAAGAGGAGGAGGAGGAGGAGGCGCAGGAAGUAGAGGAGGUGGUGGUGGUGCUGGUGCUGCUGGUGGUGGCGGCGGUGGUGCAGGAGGAAGGUCCGCGGACGUGCAACAAGUUAAGAGGCCGCCGCCGUCGACGUCGCUGUCGCCGCCAGCCUCCUCGGCACGAUGUGACAUGGAUAUCCUCGCUGUAGCCUGCGCCCUCGUUGCGACGGCACUCUACUGCAACACCUUGCAAGCGGGUUUCGUCUACGAUGACCGAAGAGCCAUCCUGACAAACCCUGACCUGCUGGCGAGCACACCUUGGUAUCGGUUGUUUGAAAAUGACUUCUGGGGAACGCCACUGACAGAGCGUGGCUCGCACGGAAGUUAUCGACCGCUCUGCGUGGCCACCUUUCGUCUAAAUCAUUUUCUUGGUGGUCUCGAACCCUGGGGUUACCAUCUAGUGAACGUGGCGUUGCACGCCGCCUGCACUGUUCUCGUUGUCAAGGUCGCCAGAAAGAUCCUGCCAGGAAGGAGCAAUCUUGCGCACGCGAUCACGGGUUUCCUGUUUGCGGUCCAUCCCAUUCACAGUGAAGCUGUGGCCGGUAUAGUCGGACGUGCCGACCUUCUUGCCUGUUUCCUGACCUUGACAUCUUUCCUGACGUACUCGGCCCAUUGUAAUCGCACGAGAUCGCCAUUCCCCCUGCUGGUGGCCCUGGUGUCGUCGACGUUGGCCACCCUCGCCAAGGAAACGGGCAUAUCGUCUCUGGCUCUCUGCCUUCUCUGGGAACUCUGUCGUGGCGAGCCAAGUCGAAAGGGCAGCUGCGGAUUCACCCGGGGUCGCAGCGUCGGCAUUCUGUCCGGCGGCCUGGCGUUGCUCGCCUUCGGCCGACUCAGACUCGCGGGGAGCAGGCCGGAGUUUGCAAGCGCGGACAAUCCGACGGCGAGGCAUCCGUCGCGGCUGACGCGCGGCCUGACUUUCCUGUAUCUGCCGGCGGCCAGCGCGAGAAUGCUACUUUGCCCGAGCACACUGAGUUUCGACUGGUCGAUGGACGCCGUGCCGCGCAUUACCAGCCCGCUGGACCCGCGGAAUCUCGAGUCCGUGUGCCUGUAUGUCGUCCUGAUCGGCGCGGUGUGCUGGGCCGUCAGGGGUCUGCGACGACCACGCCGGGACUCGUUACCGGUGGGUUUUCUACUUCAGCAAACGUAUCCACGUUCGGCGUCGUCCAGGUGUCCCGUGUGCGCUGGCAGACGCACCGGCGGCUGCCACACGGACGGCUGCCGGGCGGCCAACAACAACAACAACAGUCCACUGGGCGAUUGUCACUGUGCCAAGAGGCCGAACAGCAACGGCGGCAUAAACGGCGUAAAUGUUAGCGGCCGACAGACCGCGGCUACCGCCGUCGCCGUUUCCCUGGGCUUCCUCGUGCUCCCGUUCCUGCCGGCGAGCAAUCUGUUCUUCUACGUGGGCUUCGUCAUAGCCGAAAGAAUACUGUAUCUGCCCAGCGUGGGCGCAUGUCUAGCGGUUGGUGCCGCGGUGUCCGGGUGCUACCGGAUAGCGAGAAGAAACGGCUCCAGGACACGCGGUAGAGCGGUGCUUCUCGGCACGGCGAUUCUCAUUGGCGUGAUGUCGGCGAAGACGCUCGUGAGGAAUGCCGAUUGGAGGGACGAGGAGAGCCUAUACAGAUCCGCGCUGCACGUCAAUCCGCCGAAAGCUUAUGGCAACCUGGGCAGCAUUCUCAGCGAGCAAGGGCGAGUAGCCGAAGCGGAAGAAGCAUUUGUUCAAGCCCUUCGCUAUCGACCCAAUAUGGCAGACGUGCACUACAACCUGGGCAUCUUGCAGCAGGGCAGAAAGAAUUACGACGAAGCGAUUUUGAGUUAUCAACGGGCCAUUCAUUUCCGACCUUCGUUAGCUCAGGCUUAUGUGAAUCUGGGAGCGGCGUUGAUUUCGGUCGGACGGGGCACCGAGGCAGCUGCGGUUUUGCGCGCCGGUGCAUCCUUGGACGGCUCCGGUCUGAAGGACAAAAGGGCUCACGAGGCGGCCAGGGUGCAGGCUCUCCUUCAAUUAGGCGCGCUGUACGCCGAUCAAGGUAGAUUACAAAGAGCCCUGUCGGCGUACAGGGAAGCCCUGCGUGCCCUACCGGAUCACUAUCCACCUCAGAGCGUGUACAAUCUGCUAGGUGAGACGCUGUCGAGGCUGCAACAGUACGCGGAAGCGGAGAGGUGGUUUCAGGCGAGUUUGGCCAGCCAGCCUGACCACGUGCCGGCCCACAUCACUUACGGGAAACUUUUGGCACGGAACAACAAGCUCCUGAACCGGUAGCAACCGCCAGGGGGAGGGGGGACAGACAGGGCUAUCGAGUUCGCGGUGGCUCACGCGUCGCCUCUGCUUUCUCUCUCUUUAGUCGAGCCGCGUCCUGGAAGCGGAGAGAUGGUUCCUGAGAGCCCGCAGGUUGGCGCCGGACGACCCCAGCGUGCACCAUCAUUACGGGCUGUUCCUGACGUCGCAGGGUCGGCUGGUGGAGGCUGCCGAAGAGCAGCUGCGAGCGGCCGA
rnacentral:misc_RNA from 1 species